rnacentral:lncRNA from 1 species
UUCUCUUUUCAAUCCAAUUAUACAAAAAAAUUAAAAAAAUAAAAAAUAAAACAGUUCAUAAAAAAACUAAAUAGACCAGAUUGUCUACUAUCUGCUUUAUUGAAGCGGUUCGAUUUUAUUGCUGCAUUUCAACUUCAAAGCUUUAUCACUACAAGAUUCGAAUGUGUACCUGGAAUUCGAACUACAAAUAGAGAAAAGAGGUUAGGAGCAACAAUGUACAGCAGUAGCACAGCAACAGAAUCCCACAGCAAAUAACAGCAACAAAACAACAAUAACCAAUGUAACAAUGGUCAGAACCAAACUGAAAACCCCAGAAAGCUUGACUGAAAAUCAGUAGUACUAAAUGCAAUCCAACAGAUGGCAGUAACAAAGUUCUGAUUUCAGCAGUAAAGAAAAGAACCUCACUUUCAGUUUUUAGCUCUCAAAGACUGAUUUUUAGUUCUGAAAAAUUAGCCUAUCUCUCACUUUUAAGUUCUGAAAAUUUCUGUUCUCUCAACUUCCAGUCUCAAUCCUUUUUUUUUCCAGUCCCCUUAUCUAUAUCAACUCCCCUUAUUUAUAGGCUAGAACUAAACAUUAUUUAUUCAAACCUUUUCACUUUCAGCCUGUAUAUUCCCUCUCAUGUGCAUCUAUACCCUUUUAUCAUUAAUCUCAUGCUUAUUUUCUGAUUUUCCACCCUUAAAGAUACCAGACACGGUGUAUUCUGCACUACUAAUUCCAUUUUCAUUAAAUAAUUCAUUAAUUAUACACUGAAUAUUAACUAGCAGGCUACUAACACUAAUCAUUUUAAAUCUUUUAACACCCAAAAAAAAUACCCCUGAAAAAUCCCCUAUUAUUAUUUCCUUGCCCUCACUCUUAGCAAUAUGUAUUUAAACCUCUCUGAUUUACAACUACACCAAAUCACUACACAGCUACAACCAAUCCUUAAGUCAAAUUCACACAAAAGAUUCAAGCAUCAAAACAGACCUAAGAAGUGAUUCAUGUUGUAUUCGUCCAAACAAAGCAAUCAUAAACUAACUAUUCAAUGAAGUUGUUCAAAUCGAAGGUAGCUUAUAACGCACACUCAAACAAACAGAAGAAAAACCUUGACCAAAUAAAAGGUCUUGAAGAAGAAGGAGUACUAACGAACAAGACAAGAUUUACAAAAAUAAUCACUUUAAACAAAGAUUCAAUAAUCUGAAAAAAAUAGAACGAACAAAACAAGAUUACGAACAACACUUAAAACCAAAAACCCUAAUGGAAAAUAAAUCAAAAGAACUAAAUAAUCUUGAAAGAAAAAUCUAAAACUUGAAUGAACCCAAGUCAAACUAGGAGUUGAAC